rnacentral:tRNA from 1 species
AGAGAACUUAGCUUAAUUAAAGUAUUCGAUUUGCAUUCGAUUGAUGCGAGAUAAAGUCUUGUAGUUCUUA